rnacentral:rRNA from 1 species
CCUACGGGAGGCAGCAGUGAGGAAUAUUGGUCAAUGGACGAGAGUCUGAACCAGCCAAGUAGCGUGAAGGAUGACUGCCCUAUGGGUUGUAAACCUCUUUUAUAUGGGAAUAAAGUGCUCCACGUGUGGCACUUUGCAUGUACCAUAUGAAUAAGGAUCGGCUAACUCCGUGCCAGCAGCCGCGGUAAUACGGAGGAUCCGAGCGUUAUCCGGAUUUAUUGGGUUUAAAGGGAGCGUAGGCGGAUUGUUAAGUCAGGGGUGAAAUUUUGCGGCUCAACCGUAAGAUUGCCGUUGAAACUGGCGGUCUUGAGUGCGCGAGAGGUAGGCGGAAUGCGUGGUGUAGCGGUGAAAUGCUUAGAUAUCACGAAGAACUCCGAUUGCGAAGGCAGCAUACUGGAGUGCAACUGACGCUGAGGCUCGAAAGUGUGGGUAUCGAACAGGAUUAGAUACCCUGGUAGUC